UUGGGGGUAGUAUUGUCUUUCGGAUGAAAGGGGACAGGGGGUGCAUGGUUGGGGUCAGCUCGUGUCGUGAGAUGUUGGGUUAAGUCCCGCAACGAGCGCAACCCUUAUGCUUAGUUGCCAGCACAUCAUGGUGGGUACUCUAAGCAGACUGCCGGUGACAAACCGGAGGAAGGUGGGGAUGACGUCAAAUCAUCAUGCCCCUUAUGACUUGGGCUACACACGUACUACAAUGGCCGGUACAACGGGAAGCAAUAUCGCAAGAUGGAGCCAAUCCUUAAAAGCCGGUCUCAGUUCGGAUUGCAGGCUGCAACUCGCCUGCAUGAAGUCGGAAUUGCUAGUAAUCGCGGAUCAGCAUGCCGCGGUGAAUACGUUCCCGGGUCUUGUACACACCGCCCGUCACACCACGAGAGUUUGCAACACCCGAAGUCGGUGGGGUAACCUGCAAAGGAGCCAGCCGCCGAAGGUGGGGUAGAUGAUUGGGGUGAAGUCGUAACAAGGUAGCCGUAUCGGAAGGUGCGGCUGGAUCACCUCCUUU
rnacentral:ncRNA from 2 species